UGUCAUCCGAUUAAUGUGUGUGUGUGUGUAUAUGUAUAUAUACACACACACACACUAAUCGGAUGACAUC